AGUGAAAUUGCUGGGUCAAAUGGUAAUUCUAUCUUUAACUUUUUAAGGAACUGCUAGACUGUUUUCUAGAGUGGCUGCACCAUUUUAUGUUCCCACCAGCAAU
rnacentral:pre_miRNA from 1 species